GAUGAAUGCUGGCGGCGUGCCUAACACAUGCAAGUCGAGCGGCAGCGAGGGGUGCUUGCACCCUGUCGGCGAGCGGCGAACGGCUGAGUAACGCGUAGGAAUUUGCCCCAAAGUGAGGAAUAACUGCCCGAAAGGGUAGCUAAUGCCGCAUAGGGUCUUCGGAUUAAAGGAUUUAUCCGCUUUUGGAGAAGCCUGCGUUGGAUUAGGUUGUUGGUAGGGUAAUGGCCUACCAAGCCGACGAGCCAUAGCUGGUCUGAGAGGAUGAUCAGCCAGACUGGAACUGAGACACGGUCCAGACUCCUACGGGAGGCAGCAGUGGGGAAUCUUCCACAAUGGGCGAAAGCCUGAUGGAGCAACGCCGCGUGAAUGAUGAAGGCCUUCGGGUUGUAAACUUCUUUUAUGAGUGAAGAAUAUGACGGUAACUCAUGAAUAAGCACCGGCUAACUACGUG
rnacentral:rRNA from 1 species